CCAAAGAAAAGCCGAAUGCAGCACCACUUGAAGCAGGUCAUCAAGAACCAAUAGUUACCACUAAAUUUAGGUGCAUCGUGGCACCACGAGUUGAUACACUACAUACAACAACAGUACACUCUAUACCAGGUGUAACAACCACUAAAGAUACAUUAGAUACAUGCUUAACAUUCUGGAACUGGAAACCAGCCCCAUCUCUCCAACAAAAAUCAUUAACAUGGAAACAAAAAAGAUUUAGCAACAUCUAAUAAGCCCAACACCCCAGAAUACACAAUGGUAUUCUUGCCCAUAAGACUUUCAUGCCAUCAUUGCACGUGUAUGUAUAUAAACAAUUGCACAUGUAUAUACAAAAUUGCACAUGUACUUGCAUACAUACGUACCCAUGCUGUCAUAUAAAUUAACUUCUUAAGUAAAUUGCAAGUGGCAGAAGCAAACAAAACAUCCAGAUGUAAAAUAUUUGCCAACUUCCCAUCAAAAAUGCCUUUGUCUACCAAUCAUUUAUUUAAAUAACUUCCAUUAUUCUCUUAUUUCUUUGCUGCAGAGAUGAAUUUAUGAAGAGCUUGAAUUUGGGUAUUAAAUAUGAACUACCUUGUUAGGCUCAGUGCCUGCUGUUCAAUUCUGUCACAUUUACUAUUUAGGUUAUUCAGUUACUUCCAUUGUCAAAAAUCAUCAACAACCUUUUGUGCAGAUAAUAUUUUUACUCAGAAUGAUAUAACUUUUCGAGACAAAAUAUGAACUGGCUGCAACAAGUUGAUAGGAUGAAGGACACUUGAUUGUGAAAUAUAAAUAAACUUAUUGAUUUCCACUUUUAGUGCAGUGCAUGAUGAUAAAAUAUGAAGUUAGAAUUAAAUAUAAUACGAACUAGCACGUUCACCCACAACCUUAUGCGCAGAUAAUAUUUUUACUCGGAAUGAUCAACAGAUACAAAAUCAUCUUAAAAAAAAUAACCCCGACUUUGGACAUAAAAUAUGAACUGAGCUGCAACAAGUUGAUAGGAUGGACGACAAACUUGAAUGUUAAAUAUAAAUAAACUCAUUGUUUUUAACUUUUAAUGCAGUGCGUGAUAAUAAAAUAUAAAGUUAGAAUUCAAGUAUAAAAUUCGAACCAGCUUGUGCAUAUGAUUGCAGAAUUGAUGCAAGUAAGGUAAACUAUUGGCAUUUGAAUGAGAGUGCAUUACAACUAUUUUGAUCAGCUAAUAGAGUUAUUGUUUAAACACGUUUAAGCCGAUCAUAUCUGAGAGAAUCUAUGAAUAAUAUCUAAAUUCGAACUAGCUUGUGCAUAUGAUCGCCGACUUGGUGAAAGGACGAUUAAACUAUUGGUAUGUGAAUGAGAGCGCAUUACAGCUAUUUUUGAUCGGCUAAUAGAGAUAAAAUUGUUUUAAAAUGUUCAAGGCGAUCAUAUCUGAGAGAAUCUAUGAAUAAUAUCUAAAGGUAGAUGAUAGAUAAGUAUUAUACCUUUGGUGGUCGAAUUCAUGAAGGACAAUCCCGAUUCCUGCAUGGCUGUUGCCUUGUUUGCCUUAGUUGCAAAGUAUGUUUGUUUGGUAAACCUUGCAGUAUAAAGAUAGAAAAGGAAAAGAGGAAAAGAGGAAAAGAGAGAAGCAAAGGAAGGCACGACCAGACACGCACACAAAGUGGGGGAGAGCCGGGCAAAAUAAAGCAAAUACUCCCGUGCCAUCUCCCCCCUCAAAAACCCAAAAAAUUUAAAUUUUAUUUAAGUUUUUGACCUGCCAUGCAAGCGCACCUGCCAUGGCAAAGGUCAGGGGACAAACAGCAGCAAAUAAACAUCAAUUAACCAAACAUCUCCUCAGCCUUCGCACCCAGGUAUCCAGCAUCCUACUUCUAUCGUAUUACCUCAUAAAUCAUAAUCGAACAGAUUCACAUAUAAUAUAACCACAAACGAACCCUUUUCGCCUUAUGAUCUUACGAAAUGACUCAAGACCACCAUCACCAUCGAUCAUCAGAUUGGAAGGCGCAAAUCUUCCAGUUAUCCGCAACCACGGCUUGGUCAGGAUCCAUCCACCACCAACUCUCUUCCAUGGAGAGAUCAAUCACUAUCGGCACCAACAUCACAGCUGCUGGUCAUCUCCAAAUAAACAAAAACAAAAGCUCAGAGACAAACAUAUCAGCCAGGCAAAGAGACCUUAACCAGUCGUACGUCCAUAGAUCUCGCCACCUGAGAUCAAAGAGCUCCAAAGUUCGCAGAUCUGAUGCAAAUCGGAAACAGCUAGAGCUAAAACUUCCCCGUAACUGAUCUAGCUGAGCUAUGAAGAUGCAUCAACCACAGAUCGAUCUCCAAGAAGAAAAAGGUAAAGCCAUGCUCAACGGUUAGAUCGGAAAACGAUCUAAUCAAAAUUGAAGUUCUCAAAGACAGGAGAUAAGACAG
rnacentral:misc_RNA from 1 species